rnacentral:rRNA from 1 species
UACGUAGGGUGCAAGCGUUAAUCGGAAUUACUGGGCGUAAAGCGCGCGCAGGCGGUUUUGUAAGUCUGUCGUGAAAGCCCCGGGCUCAACCUGGGAAUUGCGAUGGAGACUGCAAGGCUUGAAUCUGGCAGAGGGGGGUAGAAUUCCACGUGUAGCAGUGAAAUGCGUAGAGAUGUGGAGGAACACCGAUGGCGAAGGCAGACCCCUGGGUCAAGAUUGACGCUCAUGCACGAAAGCGUGGGGAGCAAACAGG